GCCCAACCGCUUCCCUUGGUCCCUGCCCACUCGGCCAUGCGGCAAGGUCGCCCAGGGGCCAUGGCGAGGCCUCGGCGCGACGGCGCAGCCGGCCUGCUGCCAGGCGCAGUGGCCAGGGCAGAGCCCCUGCACGCUGUCCCAGUGUGCCUAUCCGGCUCGGCCCCCUUGCCGGCGAGCCGUCGGCAGCCUGUUCCGGCCAUCUUCUUCGACCUCGGCGAGCUGCCCGCGUCGCUCCUCGCCCGCAUGUUGUGCACCAGUGCGCCUUGGAAUCUGUCGAAGUGUGAACGACAGGUGCAUGCAGGCAUGCAGUCAAAGUGUGAACGGCUCUCCACAUUCGAUGGAUAGGUUGGAUCUUUUGCGGCUGUGCUUUGUGGCCCACUGUGUAGUCUAUUUUUUUGGCUAUAACAUCGUGCCACGUCGUCGACGUUAAUUCGCAAAAUGCUAAUUAUUCAAUACGUUAUGCGUCACAAACUUGUUUCGACUCGUUUCGAUCGCGUCAACACUAUAACAGCGUCACAUUCAUAUUAAUAACAUUAUUUAUUCAUGA